CAAUUGGCGAAACCUGUCUAAGAGACUUACGCAUCAAUCAGCAAAAAAUACGGUACAGUGGUCCCAAAGAGUGCCAAUUCUCAAGCCAAAGGAAGGUGGAUUCUCCAUUGCCAAUUACUUUCUUAAUUAGGGCUUGUAGAUCUGUGAUUAUUCUCCUGAUCAACAUAGAAGCUUUGAUGGAACUAGUAACUCUUUGUGCUGGUCAUGGGUAGAGGAUAUUCUUGAGAGAGAGAGAGAGAGAGAGUAGCUGAUGAUGAUGCAUAAAUUACUACAUAAAGAUUGGUUUCUGAUGACGUUUAUUAGAAGCAUACUUGCAAAUCAAGAUCAAGUGUUGAAUUUUUUUUCUUGAACUGAUUCUUAGUUCUAGUUUUAAACCUAGUUGACUGAUAUUUUUUUUUGGACUCCG